rnacentral:rRNA from 1 species
CGGACGGGUGAGUAACGCGUGAGAAUCUGCCUUUAGGUCCGGGACAACCACUGGAAACGGUGGCUAAUACCGGAUGUGCCGCAACGUGAAAGGGGAAACCCGCCUGAAGAUGAGCUCGCGUCUGAUUAGCUAGUUGGUGAGGUAAAGGCUCACCAAGGCGACGAUCAGUAGCUGGUCUGAGAGGAUGAUCAGCCACACUGGGACUGAGACACGGCCCAGACUCCUACGGGAGGCAGCAGUGGGGAAUUUUCCGCAAUGGGCGAAAGCCUGACGGAGCAAGACCGCGUGGGGGAGGAAGGUCUGUGGAUUGUAAACCCCUUUUGUCAAGGAAGAACACAAUGACGGUACUUGACGAAUCAGCCUCGGCUAACUCCGUGCCAGCAGCCGCGGUAAUACGGAGGAGGCAAGCGUUAUCCGGAUUUAUUGGGCGUAAAGCGUCCGCAGGUGGUUUAUCAAGUCUGCUGUUAAAGCGCGGAGCUUAACUUCGUACAGGCAGUGGAAACUGAUGAACUUGAGUGUGAUAGGGGCAGAGGGAAUUCCCAGUGUAGCGGUGAAAUGCGUAGAGAUUGGGAAGAACACCGGUGGCGAAAGCGCUCUGCUGGGUCAUUACUGACACUGAGGGACGAAAGCUAGGGGAGCGAAAGGGAUUAGAUACCCCUGUAGUC